AGCCUGUCCAGGGAUUCAGGCUGGAACAGCUGGCGAGGCCUAUGAGCAGGUUUACUGCUGGAGUCCUUGGGUAGGCUGCCUUGGUGACUGAUCAGUGGGGACUUGGGCCUGAUACCUUGGUCCAUAAGACAUGGGCCUGGUUCUGGGGCAGUCCUGGAGCCUCCAUAUGUGGAAGGCGUUCUGGAGCUGAGGUAGGCUUGUAUGGAGUCUGGGUGCUUGGGGGACUGGGGGUGCUGUGCAGCUGGCCUGGUGUUGGAGUGGGCUUGGAGCUGCAGGAGCUGGGCUGGCUGUAAGGUUCUUUGGGGCUGGUCUAGUCCUCUGGUCUGUGGCAAAGUUGGGUACUCACUUCACUCUCCUUCCCCCACACAGAGGGUAUCUCCCUCUGUGCAUGCUGCACAGGCUUGGGUCAUGGGUGAAUGAUAUGGGUAAUAUGAAACAGUCUUUCCUUCCCUCUUCAAUGUGUCUUUUCUUAUUUCUGUGUUCCACCCAGGUGCCAUAAUCUUUCACCUGGGUUCCUUAGCUCUUGUGAAGGUAUCUUCAUGCAUGGAUGGUAGUUCAAACUGAUGUUUCUUUGAAAGGUAAGUGCUGAAAACUCCUAUUCUGUGCUAUGUUGUUAAUGUCACUCCCAGAUAAUCUUUUUUUAAGGCAUUAUUCACAGAGUUGUGUUCAUUUUAUGGUUUCAAUUUCUUUUGUAAUUCUUAAAUAUUCUUAAAGAAUGUAUUUUGUAGAUUUUAUCAGAUAUUUCUAUUACCUGAAGUUUUUUGUUUUGGUUUGGUUUUGGUUUUGAUUCUCAUUAUCAUUUUUAUGUGUUUGUUGAAUCUCACUCAUGGUAGAUUAUUUCCUCAUGAUUUACUAAUUUGGGAUUAAGAAUUCAUCCUCUGUGAGACGUUACCUGUGAAAGUCUAUAAAGGCUAAUAUAAGGAUAUAACAUUCUGGACUAAUAUAAGGAUAUAACAUUCUGGGAGGACUGAGUUGGGGAUAUGUGUUUUGGAGAAGAUUAUGUUUAGUUCUUCCAAUUACAACAGAGGUAUCAUAUCCUAAGAUAAAUUUUUAGGUAAAUUUCUUGGC
rnacentral:lncRNA from 1 species